rnacentral:lncRNA from 1 species
CCCAAGGCGACAUCCACGUCCUUUCAGGAUCAAUAUACAAAAUACUGUCGGAAAACACCAGGCAGCGAGGGAGAGGCAUACCCGACAAAACCAUUGUACUUUUUUCUGCACUUAUAUUUUCUCUUUUUUUUCUUUUCUUUUUGCAGAGCCACAGGAGUAAAGGCUUGAACCAGACCAACGGCAGAGUAGCCCGUCGAUCUACGAGGAGCCCAAAGCAAAGCGAUGGGUCGUGCAGGGAGCACGCAUAAGAAAAAGCACACACACGCGGGUGGAUGGAUAGAUCCACGUCCACGCAGUGAGAUUCUUGAGAAGUGGCUGCGGCCGAUCUAGCAC